rnacentral:rRNA from 1 species
CGCUGAGUUUGAUCCUGGCUCAGGAUGAACGCUAGCGGCAGGCUUAACACAUGCAAGUCGAGGGGUAUUGGUUUUCGGACCAAGAGACCGGCGCACGGGUGCGUAACGCGUAUGCAAUCUACCUUUUACAGAGGGAUAGCCCAGAGAAAUUUGGAUUAAUACCUCAUAGUAUGUGAGAAUCGCAUGGUUUUCACAUUAAAGUUCCAACGGUAAAAGAUGAGCAUGCGUCCCAUUAGCUAGAUGGUAAGGUAACGGCUUACCAAGGCAACGAUGGGUAGGGGUCCUGAGAGGGAGAUCCCCGACACUGGUACUGAGACACGGACCAGACUCCUACGGGAGGCAGCAGUGAGGAAUAUUGGACAAUGGGCGCAAGCCUGAUCCCAGCCCAUGCCGCGUGCAGGAAGAAGCAUCUAUGGUGUGUAAACUGCUUUUG